rnacentral:tRNA from 1 species
GCCUGGCUGGCUCAGUCAGUAGAGCAUGUGAUUCUUGAUCUCAGGAACGGGAGUUCAAGCCCCACACUGGGUG